UGAUUGGUUGCUGUCUUACUGGCUGG
rnacentral:piRNA from 1 species